rnacentral:rRNA from 1 species
UACAGAGGUGGCAAGCGUUGUUCGGAAUUACUGGGCGUAAAGGGCGCGUAGGCGGCCACCGCAAGUCGACUGUGAAAUCUCCGGGCUUAACCCGGAAAGGUCAGCCGAUACUGCGGGGCUAGAGUGCAGAAGGGGCAACUGGAAUUCUCGGUGUAGCGGUGAAAUGCGCAGAUAUCAGGAGGAACACCAAUGGCGAAGGCAGCUCACUGGGACGGUAUUGACGCUGAGACGCGAAAGCGUGGGGAGCAAACAGG